GAUUUUGAACUCAAGUGAAUUGAACUGUUUUGAAUAACAAAAUUCCUAAUUCAAACUCAAGAAUAUUUUUGAUCAAGCACCUGACCUAUCUCACCUACAAGUAUACAACAAAUAAAUAUUCUAAUUGGCCUUUUAUAACCGGUUUAUGAAUAGAUCCAAGUUCCAAAGUCACAAAGCUCUUUUCUCAUUGGCUGCCAACAACUAAUUUAAGUUCAAUGCGUCUUUCCGUCUCACCUGCUAACUCGUAGAAAGAAGCUUCUAUUCUAAAAACCAUAGCUUCUCACCUUUCUCAGAGUGAGAAGUUCCCUUCCAUUUACUAAAAUGUUUAAUGGUCUGUUUUUUUGUCUUUACAAAUAAGUAUAUAUAUGAGUUUCUUCAACUUUCUUGUCAAUUGAAAAAUCAUCAUAAUUUCACCUCUAAGAGCCAAAAUAUAUUCAAUCAAUUGGC
rnacentral:lncRNA from 1 species